UGAUGCAGCUACCCACCUGAACUACUAUUCUUCUACUUUGUGCAGUGCCUUAAUUCAAGGAUGCAGGCAUGUUUCAGAAUGUAUCAGUAUGAUGGGAAUAGACUUCUGUUGACAGAAUUUCAGAAGCAAAGGUAGGUGGUGGGACUCCCCUCCACCACCAGCAAUGUGCAGCCC